CGGCCGCGGUAUCUUAACCGUGCAAAGGUAGCGUAAUCACUUGUCUUUUAAAUGAAGACCCGUAUGAAAGGCAUCACGAGAGUUUAACUGUCUCUACUUUCUAAUCAAUGAAAUUGAUCUCUCCGUGCAGAGGCGGAGAUAAAAACAUUAGACGAGAAGACCCUAUGGAGCUUCAAACACUUAAAUUAAUUAUGUAAAAUAUAAUAUUCCAAGGAUAUAAAUAAAUAAUAUAAUAUUUCUAAUUUAAUAUGUUUUUGGUUGGGGUGACCAAGGAGAAAAACAAAUCCUCCUGAUCGAUUGAGUAUUCGAUACAUAAAAAAUCAGAGAGAGUAUUCUGAAUGAUAAUAC
rnacentral:rRNA from 1 species